GAUGAAGAACGUAGCGAAAUGCGAUAAGUAAUGUGAAUUGCAGAAUUCAGUGAAUCAUCGAAUCUUUGAACGCACAUUGCGCCCUCUGGUAUUCCGGGGGGCAUGCCUGUUCGAGCGUCAUUAUAACCACUCAAGCUCUCGCUUGGUAUUGGAGUUCGCGAUCUCGCGGCACCUAAAAUCAGUGGCGGUGCCUGUCGGCUCUACGCGUAGUAAUACUCCUCGCGAUUGAGUCCGGUAGGUUUACUUGCCAGCAACCCCCAAUUUUUACAGGUUGACCUCGGAUCAGGUAGGGAUACCCGCUGAACUUAAGCAUAUCAAUAAGCGGAGGA
rnacentral:misc_RNA from 1 species